UUUAAAUGUAAAUUAUUAUACUAAAGUAGUAAUAGUUAAGUUCUUUAAAUUUAAAGAUUUUGGCGGUAUUUUAGUCUAUUCAGAGGAACCUGUUCUGUAAUUGAUAGUCCACGAUUAACUUUACUUAAUUUAAUAAUUUGUAUAUCGUCGUUUAUAAAUGAUUUUAAAAGAAUUUAAAUUUUUAAGAUUUUUUAUUAAAAAAUAUAUCAGAUCAAGGUGCAGUUUAUAAUUAAGUAGAAAUGGGUUACAAUAAAUUUAUUUAUACGAAUUAAUAUAUUAAAUUAUAUUAUGAAGGAGGAUUUGAUAGUAAUAAAAUUAAAUUAAAUUUUAUGAUUUUAGCUCUAAAAUAUGU
rnacentral:rRNA from 1 species